AUGGAUUUCAUGGUCAUUGAAAUAACUUUUCAUUAGAAUUAUUGUUCACACCCAUUACCAUUGGAUGUUUCAGAGCAGAUGCACCAGUGUAUUUUAAUGUCAAAAGGACAAAAUGCAACAGGGAAGUUCAACUCUUUUAUCAUUUUCAGAAAGGUUGCUUACCCUUUGGAUUCCCAUCUCCUAGAAUAAUAACUUUAUCUCUUGGGGGAGUAGUGGCUCCAGGCUGUGACAAUGAAGGAAGGAAAUAGCCAGCAAAGAAGUUGGAGGAUACAUAGGUGUAGGGAAUUCCUUCAGCCUCAAUAGUGCGGCGGAUUUGAGCCUUAGUUGCAAAUGCUGUUUUUGCUGGCUCAACAGCAUGGACACGGUCCACAUCAUUUCCAAACUCUGAUGGGAAGAAUCUCUAGACAAAAUAAAGCACUUUGAGACAAUGUAUGAAAAACCAGUUAUAUCUAUUCAGUCAUGAUAGCUCACAGACACAGAUCAUAUAUGGGAUAAAUGUUAACAAGAUGAUACAAGUGUUCUACAAGGAUAAAGUUGUCAUGCAAUUAGUACUUGGAAUGGUGGAAGGAAAGAGUGCACUGAUCAGGAUACUUACAUGUAAAGAAAAAAAAUUAAAUGAAAGGGAAGAAAAGAACUACAAAACUUCAUUCUGUAUCAAAUCACUUCAACAUCAAUUUUCAUCUUUUAUUAUUUAAUUAUAAUCCCUAGGGAGUGAUUUCAAAACAUUUGGCAGGAUUUAAUCAGGCUAAAUAGAACAACCACCAUUAGAGAAUAAUGCUAUGUAUCGUUGAAAAAUUAUCCAUAUCCAAUGACAGGCUCAGCUGCAUAGUUAAGUAACAGAUAUGGAUCCAUCAUCUCAUAGGGUAAAUAUUAAGUUCUUAUGGUUCUCCAUUCAACAUAAAGUUCAACAGCACCCAUUCUAGAAGAAACAAUUUGGAGCUCCUGACCUCAUUGUGAAGUGACAUCCAGCCACAUCUCCAUUAUGAGAGAUCUAGACAUCUGAGUCUCAGGGUUCCUUUUGCAGCUUUACAAAAGUGGCGAAGGGACUAUCUUAUGGUAAAGGCUUAUUGUUAUACUAACCAAAAGAAGGAAAUAGCCAUACUUCAGUACUACUUGAAGAGCUAAUAACAUCUCUAAAAUUUGAGGUUUUUUGAUUCCUUUUCCUAUGCUCUUUGAAAAUAUAGGAUUUUUAUUGUAUGUAGAUGAAAUUGUCUUUUAUGGCUUUCAGCAAAUGAUUUCUAUAAGAGUAGCCUCGUCUGAGGGGUUUAAUCAUUUCUAAAAAAAUAAAUUAUUUCCCAAACCAAAUAUUUGAUUAUGAUAAUCAAAAUAUGGGUUAUAUUAUGGCCCUGAAAGCAGUACACAAUAAACCCCAUUUCAGCUGGGAAGAAUAGAUCAAUUGUAAUCAGGCUACAUCAAGAAUUAAAAGCAAUUUUCAAACAUCUAAUAGCUGAGAUUGAGUGGGUUAUGGUACCUUUUUCUUGGAAAAGAACACUCAACUCAAUCCAACCUCACUGAAAUACCAUAGAUCUAGCAAGAAAAGAAUGUUAAGGUCUUUCAUGCACUUUCAAAGACUCUUUUAACAUUUCUAAGGAAGGUGAUAUCAUAUCAUGCACAAAGGAUAAAGAUAUUUGCGACAAAUGAUUACAAAUGCCAAUAAUAAAUAAAUAUCACAGUACUAGGAUCUGCAAAGAAGGGAGAAAUGACAAGGAGAAGCUGAGAAAUUGCAUCAGUUCGGACGGUUAUACCUUAACAUUUCCAGCUUCUUUGAUGGCAGCAAUGAUCUUCACUUGAUCCGGCAACUGUGCGUGGCCAACCGUGGAGAUCACAACAUCUACUUGCUUGAUCGCCUUCACCAAACUCUCGUGAUCGUAUAGAUCUCCCUGAAACAUAACAUAACCAAUCAAUAAACUAUUUCAUAACCCUAAUUCUCCAAUUAAGAAGUAAGAAUCCAAAGAUAGGUGUAUUUUUCCAGUUCACUGAAACCAAACAACUUAAAACAAAAACAUCCGAACUUUUCUUUUCCUGAGGAUCGCCAAUUUUUUCUUUCUGGAUGAGUGAAGAAUUUCAGUUUUCGUUUUUUUAGGAACUUCAAGAUCCAAAAAAUUCUAGAACUCCAACAAAUUUCGUUAAUUUUCCCGGCGGCAAUAAGAAGCAAAAAUUGGAAAAGCAAGAAUGGCGAGAAAAGAGAGCGAAUAGAACGUACAUAAACCAAAGUCACGCCAGAGCUCUUGAAACUCUCAAUGAUUUCAAACUUCUCCGAAACUGUGGAUUCUCUGACGAGAGCGAAGGUAGGGUGACCGGACUUAGCGCUGGCAGCGACGAUAAACUUUCCGAUGUAGCCAGUGCCGCCGAUGAUGAGAAUCUUGCUCUUUUCGGACAUUGUUAACUUUUUUCGGGCGAAUCUCCGGCGAGAUAUGUGGAAUGAGAAGACUAAGAUGAAAGGUCGCGGGGAAGUGGAUGGGCUCCAAAGACCAAGGACGACGAUCUUAUAGGACUGAGGAAAUUAAGAUUGUGUAAUUACGGAACUAGCCUUGUGUUUGAGCCGUAACUUCCGUUUUGGCUAUAUUUUGUAUGCGGCUUCAUUUUUAUGUGAUUCACGAAUGUGUCCAAGUUCAUUUGUUUGACACUUGGUUGGAAUCAGUCAAAUUACAAAACUACCAAAUGUUUGGUUUGGAAAGCGAAAAAGUGUACAAUCCGUUAGUAGAGGGAAAAAAAAUGUGUUUUGAGUAUAAAAUUAAUUAUAAAAUAUUAAUUUUUUAAAAAUAAUUUAAGUUUCGUGCAUUCAUCGAUUAAAAAUAAUACUUAAAAUAGUUAAUAGUAAUACCUAUAUCAUUAAAAUAUAGUACUUAAAUUAUCAAAGAUAAUACCUUUUGAUAGCGAAAAAUCCUCCAUUGAUAAUAGGAAGAUAUCUUCUACUGAAAUCAAAAAUAAAUUUUUCAUCAAAAUCCCUAUUUUACAUUCAAAUGUAUAUUCCAUCUAUGCAUUUAUCUCUUCCUUUGCAUUUAUCGUUUCAAUAUUCUCUUAAUUUUGUUCCAUUUUUAUAGACUUACACAUAUAUUCUUUUAAAUAUCAGACCCGUUUUACCUUUAAUUAAAAAGUAUAUGAAAUAAUAAUUAUUUUUAGAUAAUUAUAUAAAAUUUAUAAUUAUAUAAAUUGAGUUUUGAAAAAGCAUGAGAGAGAAAGGAAAAAGAUAUUGGUUUAAUUAAGGCAUACAAGUCGGUCUUCUUGAAGGGUAGUUAGAUUCCCUACCUAAACUCAGUCUUCUUUUUUAUUGCUAUGAAACUUCUUGCCAAGUUCCAAGUUUUUAGUCAAUGGAUUUAUUAAAUUCUGGUAUGACUUGGUGGGGUGUGUAGUAAUUAGUCUACGGGAGAGUCAUUAUUAAUAUGAAGCAGGGAUUAUUAUAAUAUUUUACUACAUUUCCAAUAGCAAAUGCUACCUCGAAGAAGUUACACGUCACAGCGAGACGCUCGAGAACUUUCGCAGAUUCCAAGACUUGACUUUCAAGCGAGCCAAAAGCCUUGGAUAUCAGAUUCCAAUUGGAAUGGUUAAACCUUUUCAAAUGUUUUCCAUAUAAUUUUAUUGGUUAAAAAAUAAUUAUAAAAGGGUUAUUUGAUUAAAAGGACAUUAAAAAUCUAAUCCUUUAUUUUUUUUUUAAUUAUAUUUUGAUUAAAAUGCCUUAUUCUUUUCUUGUAAAAAUAAUUUUUUUAAAACCUAUAUAUAAAUAAUUAAAAUAAUUAAGAAUAUUUAUGUAAAAAAUAAUUAUUUAAAAAAAAACAAAAAAAAUGUUAAGUUCAUAAAUUUGAAAAUUAUUUCAUCAUUUUAACCAAUCAAUUCAUUAUAAAACACUAAAAUCUCUUUUAAAAACACGACUUCUCUUUUUAAAUUUAAAUACAUGCUUACCCAGUAAAAUGAUUACCUUUUUCCAAAGUUUUUACUAUAAUUUGAUCCGAUAAAAAAAAUGAUAAUUAUAAGAGGAUGUUUAAUAAAUCAACUUAAUGAGUUAAAGAGAUUUAAUAACUCAAUUUAAAUUAUUAAGUAGAUUAAACAUGUUCGAUAAAAUAACUUAAUCUCACCACUAAUAUUUAAAAAGAGCUUUAAGUAUUCGGUCAAAAUAAUUAAUUUAAUUUUAAUUUUAAUUUUAAUAUUUUUUGUCUUAUUUACCUACAUGAACACAUAUUUAACAAUCAUAAUAUUAUAGUAAUAUGCUAAAUAUUUAAAUAUUUUAAUUAUAUUAUAUACUAAUAUGCUAAAUAUUUAAAAGCGUUACUCGUAAUUAAUAAUAUUAUAUAUUACUAUUAUCAUUAUAAAUUUUAUUAUACAUACAUUUAUUAAGAAGAAUACAUUUAUGAUGUCAGCUAUACUUAAGGAUUGUUGUAUUUAAUAUACAAAAGUGUGGGAAGAUGCGAUCGGGGUAUUUAAUAUAUAUAUUACUUCAUUAUGACAUACAUAUAAAAUAAAUAAAAGGUGGAUUCCACUUAUUCUACCUACCAUUCAUGGACCAUAUAAGAUAUAUUAUUUUAUCUUUUUAUCUUAUAUUAUAUUAGAUUAUAUUUAACAAACUAAACAAGACAUAAAGGACAACCGUUGUAUCAAAUUUCAAACUUGAAUAGUUCAUGAACUAAGCAUCAUUGCCUUUUCUUGUCUCAAUAGAAUAAGCCUUUUAAUUGUUUUAUAUACAUUUAUUUCUUCAUCAAGCCUGUUUCUUUCAAGCUCCCUCUCUUGAGCUAGAAAUAUUAUAGUAGGAGCUAGGUGUUCCUUUCUGUAUAGCUCCAUCUCUAAUCAGGUAUCAGAGAAGAUAAAAAAUCUAAUUCCAGAAACUUCUACUUGGAUAAGAUUAGAAAGGCACAUUGUCCUACUACAGAAUAUGCCCAAUGGCAUAGACAAGGAAAUAACCCACUAUUUUCCACACAACAUAAAUUAAGACAGCCACACAUGUUUGCUUAUUUAGAUAGUGCAGCAUGAAAAUGAAAAAGUUGAAAACUACCAGGACCAGAGUCUAACCUCAUCCUAUUUGACAUCAGGAUAUAGCUCUGAAGCCUCCACUCCAAAUGAUGGCUCGAUCUCGAAGUUGGUCUGGUCACCCUUAACAAAAACAGAGUGAUCGAUCGAUAAUAUUGCGUUGAGUGGAGCUGAGGCUUCUGCAAGAAACAGUGGAAAACCCAUUAAUCUAAAGGUCUUAGCCAUCAUUAACAGAUCAACUAUAUAAACGGAUUUUGGAGCCAAAAUGGCCUCUAUGGCUGAAAAAUUAUCCUUUGUGGAGACCUUCUUAAACUUAUUAUCAAGGUAGACCUCUUCAUGUCAAGCAGGAGUCAUUAAAUUAAUUUUUUCCUUUUUAAACUUAAGUUGAAACCACGUUUUGAAAAGGGUUUUUGCAUGCAUGGGUCAAAAUAAUUAUCAAAUUGCAAAAAUGACCCCUCUCUUUAGUUUUAUUGAGAGAUGUUCCUCUUUAAACACUUUUACCCUUUCAGAAAGAUCAUCUCCCUACUUAUUUUAUUCAUUCUAUACAUUUCUCAAUUUCUCCAAUCUCAUUUAUCUUUUCAGUUCAUUUUUUUUUUUUUAUCUCUCUUCUUCCUAACUCUCUGAGUCUCUUGCAUUACCAUGACUUCAGUUUUAAGUGUGACCACCAACUUAAUUUUUUCAUUUUUCUGGCCUUAUCUUAAACUUGCUUUGUUUCUUUUUCAAUGGAUGACACUCUAGGAAAACUUGAUCUCAUUUCAUAAUGUCCCACCCAAUUUUCUUAUCUCUCAAACAACUCCUCAUUCUCAUUCUUGAUGUUCAACUGAAGUGUUAAGUUUUAUUUAUUACGAAUUUAACUAAGGUUAAAUUUUGAUUGAGAAUGAUAAGCUAAAUUACACAAGUGUUACGUUUGGUUGCAAAAAACUUAAUUAGAGUUAAAUUUUCAAUCAUAAUAGUAAUAUGAACCCCGCUAAGUUAAGUUUUAUUUACAAAAGACUUAUGUGGGGUUAGAUUUCUAUUUCAUUUACAAAGGACUUGAUUAUGGUAACCUGAACUAUACUCUGGUUAAGUUUCAUUUAAAAAUAACUUAAUUAGGGUUAAGUUUUUGUUUCACCUACAAAGAACUUGAAAAAGAUCAAGGUCUUGUUAAAAUGCUCAUUUUCACUUAACUACCGAAACAUAGGGCUCGAUAAAAAUAGAGUUGGAUAAGAGAUUUAGUAAAUAACAGCUUUCUAUUCAAUCUCAUCUUCGACGUUGUAGAAGUUCAAAUGAAAUUGCAAAAUAAUCCUAACAAAAAAAAUUAGAAAAAACCCUAACAAAAAACAAUGACAUAAAACCCAACUAAAAAGAAAGAGAAAGAUGAGAUUCGAUCUCAUCUUCGCCAUUAUAGAAGUUUACAUGAAACUCCUAACAAAAAACAACGACAAAAAACCUCAACAAAAAGCUUCAUCCAAAAACAACGAGAAAAAACGCUAACUAGAAACAAAGAGAGAGAUGGAGAUCUGACCUCAUCUUCUAUAUUGUAGAAGUUCAAAUGAAGCUGCAACCAAACAAAAAACAACUCCUAAAAUUUGAAAUGUAAAGGGCUCUAAUGUUUGUUCAGGGGUUUGGACUUCACUGGAAAAAGAGAUGGAACAUGAACUUAGAGAGAAGGAAGAACCUAGAGAGAAGGAGAAAGCUAGGUAUCAAAAAUAGAAGGAACAUUUUUGGAGGAAGUAAAGAAGAGUAAAAAUGUCCAAAAUUGGUCAUUUCUCUAAAGAAUGAAUAAGGGAAGUCAUUAUUUCGAUUUUAAAAGUAUUUUAGUCGACUUCAAUCGAGGUCUGGGGCAUGAUCAGCAGAUUUUACCAGCAGUCCAGGUAACAUUUUCUAACUCAAAACAAUUGAAUCAAAAACCAAUUUCAUUUAAACAAUCUAGCAUAAAGGGAAUGUCAUAUUCACAAUCUCUGUUCCAAUUUAAAUUCACUAGGAAAACCAAAGCUUGAACACUUCCAAAAAGGAAAAUGUUUCUCACUAACCUUGGAUGUUCUUCAGUCACUCUGGAACACAUGUUUCUUUAUUUAAUGGUGCAGCAUGAGAAUGAAAACUACCAGAACCAGGAAGUACCUCUCACACAAACUGGUUGAGGUACUCAUCCACAGUUGUGUAUUUGACAUCAGGAUAUAGCUCUGAAGCCUCCACUCCAAAUGAUGGCUUGAUCUCAAAGUUGGUGUGGUCUCCCUUAACGAAAACAGAGUGACAGAAUGCUAACAUCACAUUGAGUGGAACAGAGGCUUCUGCAAGAAACAGAGGAAAACCAUCAAUCUGAAGACAUUUACCAUCAUUAAAACAUCAACUAUAUGAACAGAGUUUAGGGCCAAAAAAUGGCCUCUGUGGUAAAAAAAUUAUCCUAUGUAGGAACCUUCCCUAACUUACCAUCAAACUAGAACUCUUGAUGCCACCUAGGCACAAUUUUUUAUUUUUUCCCUUUUUUAGUCAUAGGUUGAAACUGCAUUUUGAAAAUGCGGUUUCUGAUUUUAUGUGAAGCCACAUUUUGAACAAUGGCUUGAAACAUGAUCCAAACUCAAUAUCAUUUGACCAAAACAGGCCUUUUUUACCCAAAGUUCAUAUAAACACGUGAUACUUCCAAGUUCAACCAACUCCUCUUUCUUUCUUCUUUUUAUUCCCUUCUUUUUUCAAAUCCAAUGAGCAAUAGUGAAUUGUUAGUCUGUCAUAUGAAUCUCUUAGGAAGACCUUAAUCACGGUCUGGGGCAUGAUCACCAGAUUUUACCAGUAGGCCAGCUAACAUUUUCUAAGAAAAAAGAAUUGAAUCAAGAACCAAUUACAUUUUAACAAUGCAGCAUAAUGGGAAUGCUCUAUUCCCAAUCUCUGUUCCAAUUUAAAUUACUAGGAAAACCAAAGUUUGAACAGUUUCAAAAAAUGAAAAUGUUUCUCACUAACCUUGGAUGUUCUUCAGAACUUGCUCCUCUGGAACAUAUAUCUUCUCAAGGGUUUUUCCAAUCUUCUUUUCCCAUAAGGAGACAAUUUCGUUGAAUGAGUAGGUGUUCUGAGGAGGCCUGAUGUAAAGGAUUUUGUUCAAGGUUCUAGGAUCAUCCGCAGCUUUAAUGGUAUAGGUGCCAAUGUCAUCCUCCUUGUUAAAAACAGCUGGAGAUGCAAAAAUGAAAUGAGUAAAAUAGAGUAGAAUCAUCUUCCUAUUCCUUCAAGCUUGGACUACUCCGUAAUUCCACUUUUUUUGUUUACAGAACACAAACUUGAAAUUAUUUUGAUAUGAAACCAAGUUAUUGUUUUCAUUUAAUGCUCAUGUCAAAAACUCUCAGCUGGAGAGCAACCCAAGAGGACUGUCAAUAUAAAAAAAGAGGCUUUAGCCCAUCCAGUUCAGAUAAUAAUGAUUAAUUACUAGAAGUGCACAAUGGUUCCUCAGUUUGACCACUCCAGGUCACAUGGAUCAUGCUAGUUUCCUGUAUUAUGGCUCAAUUGCAAUGUAGCACCCAAGCAGUCAACCUCAACUGUCGGAAGGUUUUGUUUCUGGGUGAACGGGUUUAACCAGCUGGGGAAAGGGGGAGUGGGGUGGGGUUGUCCAGGUUUCAAAUAGCCACAUUCUGAUUUUCAGGAAUAUAGACCAUUCUCACCUCAACAACGCUGGCAACCCCAUCAAUUUUUUUGCCUGGAGAAGGAUAAUAUGCAGCUAUUGGUUGGUGAAAUGGUAAAUUACACUCUCAAAAGGAUUCCAUGCUCAUCUACAUAACCCGCUGAUUAGUAUUACUUUUUAAGCCCACUAUCAUCAGAUGUCACUGAUACAUGGACCGGUGCAUUCUAACAUCAAAACGAGAAAAUGCAAUGGGAAAUUAAGUUGUAUGAUUUUCAGAGGUUGCUUACCUUUUGGAUUCCCAUCUCCUAAAAUAAUAACUUUAUCCCUGGGGGGAGCGGUGGCUCCAGGCUGUGAAAAUGUAGGAAGGAAAAAGCCAGCAAAUGUGUUGGAGGACACAUAGGUGUAGGGAAUUCCUUCAGCCUCAAUAGUGCGGCGGAUUUGAGCCUUUAUCUCAAAGGCUGUUUUUGCUGGCUCAACCGCAUGUACACGGUCCACAUCAUUUCCAAACUCUGAUGGGAAGAAUCUCUGGAUGAAAUAAAGCACUUUAAGAAGAAGCUGUAUAACUCAAUAGAUUGAAAAACGGGUCAUAUCUAUUUAGUCAUAUUAGCUCACGACAGGGAUCCUAUAUGGGAUACACUUUGACGAACUUGAUACAAGUGUUCAGCAACCAUAAAGACAUACAAUUAGCAAUUCAAACGAUGGAAGGAAAGAGUGCACUGAUCAGGAUUCUUAAAAAGUGAAAGAAAAAACCAUGUAAGAAAUGUGAAAAAAAAAACUACCAAACUUCAUUCAUAGAAGGAAAAUGCGCACUAAUCAGGAUGCUUAGAAGAUGGAAGAAUAAAAACUAAAUGAAAACAGGAGAAAAAAAAAAAAAAAAACUUCAUUCUUGUUUAGUUGUCUUGCUGCUUUUUGAAGCCUUUUGUAUACCAUUUGUCUACAUUGGGUGUGCUGUCUUUUUUUGUUAGGCGCUUCUCUGUUAAUAUAGUUUGUUUUUAGCCUAUCAAAAAAAGGGGGGGGGGGGGGUGGUGGUUGUGGGUGUAUACAAUGGAUUGGAAGUGGUAUAGCAUGCCCCAUGAAAGGGAAUUAGUAUUUAAAAUUUUUUCCUUUUUACAUCAAAAAUUAAGAUUGACUUUAAAGCAUCGAUCCAACCUGAGUCAAUGCACAUGGAUCUAGACAAGAAUCAAGAUUGUUGAUCCUCAAUGAAUAUUGUAUAUAUGGAAUGUUCUUUCAUGCACUUCCAACAUUUCUAAAGAAGGUAUUAUUACAUUAUGCACAAAGGAUAAAGAUAUCACCAACAAAUUAUAACAAAUUCCAAUAAUAAAUAUCAUAGUACUCGGAUUUGCAAAGAAAAGAGGGAAUUAGAAAGAAGAAAAGGAGAAAAGGAGAGAAAUUUCGUCAAUUUGGACAACUUUACCUUGACAUUUCCAGCUUCUUUGAUGGCAGCAAUGAUCUUGACUUGAUCCGACAACUGUGCGCGACCAACGGUCGAGAUGACCACAUCCACUAGAUUAAUCGCCUUCACCAAACUCUCGUGAUCGUAUAGAUCACCCUGCAACAUAACAUAACCAAUCAAUAAACUAUUUCAUAACCCUAAUUCCCCAGUUAAGAAGUAAGAAUCCAAAAGCAGGUGUGUUUUUUCACUUUACUGAAACCAAAAUAACUUAAAACAUAAACAUCCGAACUUUUCUUUUCCUGAGGAUCGCCACUUUUUUCUUUCUGGAUGAAUGAAGAAUUCCAGUUUUCGUUUUUUUAGGAACUUAAACAUCCAAAAAUUCAAGAACUCCAAUUAAUUUCAUUCAUUUUCUCGGCGGCCAAAAGAAGCAAAAAUUAGAAAACCAAGAAUAGCGAGAAAUGAGAGCGAAUAUUACGUACAUACACCAAAGUCACGCCGGAGCUCUUGAAAAUCUCAAUGAUUUCCGACUUGGAAGGAUUCGAAACGGCGGAUUCUCUGACGAGAGCGAAGGUAGGGUGACCGGACUUAGCGCUGGCAGCGACGAUGAAUUUUCCGAUGUAGCCAGUGCCGCCGAUUAUGAGAAUCUUGCUCUUUUCGGACAUUGUGAGCUUUUCCGGCGAAUCUCCCGCGAGAAAUGUGGAAUUGAGAGGACUAAGCGAAAGGUGACUGGAGAGUUGGUGGGCACCAACGGCCAAAGACAAUGCUCUUGUAGGACAGAGCUCGAGGAUAUUAGGAUUAUGUAAUUACGGAACUAGCCUUGUGUUUUGGUGGUAAUCUCCGUUUUGGUUAUAUUUUGAAUGUGGCUUGAUUUUUAUGUGAUUCAUGAAUGUGUCAAAGUUCGCUUGUUUGAAAAUUGGUUUAGAUUGGAAAGUGAAAAAGUGUAUAUCACAUGAGAGAUUUAUAAAUAGAAAAAAAUGUAUUUUCACACACUAAUGUAAAAAUAAUUACAAAAUAAAAACUCUUUAAAUAAUUAUAAAAUAAAAACCCUUUAAAAAUAAUUUAAAUUUUAUGCACUCAUCGAGUACAUGAAAUGAUAAUUUAAUAUAGUUAUGUGUAACGACCCGCUCUCCCAAUAAUGACUCCCCUAGCUUUAAAAAAACGUCUUUAGGAUUAAGAUUGAUACUAUUUAUAAUAACUCGUAAAACCUAAAAAGGUCAUCACGACUUUAAAAUGCGUUUGCAAGAUUAAAAAAAAAUAAAAAAAAUUAUACUUAGAUAGUGUUAGGAACUUUCUCCCCUAUCUGAUGUGUGAUGUUACAAAUAUCCCCCAUGCAGACACAACAUCCUUGUUGUAUCUCAUGGAAUUGUGGAAUUAGAAUGAUAAUUUAAUGUAAUUAUGUGUAACGAUCCACCCUAUUUGAUGUGGGAUGUCACAAAUAUCCUCAUGCAGACACAACGUCUUUGUUGUAUCUCAUGGAAUUGUGGAGUUAAAAUGAUAAUUUAAUGUAGUUAUGUGUAAUGACUCGUUGUCCCAAUCAUGUAGAUAUUAUUCGUUUUGGACCCAAAAAAUGACUUUCCUGACUUUAAAAAAACGUCUAUGUGAUUAAGAUUGAUAUCGUUUAUAAUAACUCGCAGAACCUAAAAAGGUCCCCACGACUUUAAAAUGUGUUUACAAGAUUUUUAAAAAAAAUUAUACUUAUAUAGUGUUAGGAACUUUCUCUCCAUAUGAUGUGAGAUGUCACAAACAUCCCUAUGCAGACACAACGUCCUUAUUAUAUCUCAUGGAAUUAUGGAGUCAAAUAGACAAACACUCCCUAUGAGGCAAACAAACUCCCACACCGAAAUCAGAGAUCAAUUCCGAUAUUAUUUGUAACGAUCUACUCUCAAUUAUAUAAAUAUUGUCCAUUUUAAUCCGAAAGGGCAUUACAGUUUUAAAACGUGUGUACAGGAUUAAGAAAAGCCUUUACAUAUACAGUGUCAUGAUUUUUUUUUUCCUAUCGGAUGUGAGAUGUCAUAUUAUGAAUCCGUCAUUCUGUCUUUAUUCAUUUGUUGCAUUUAAGAUAUUUGAAAAAUUGAGCGAUUUUAUAAAAUGAGUUUUGAAAAGGCAUGAGAGAAGGAAAAAGAUACUAGUUUAAUUAAGGCUUACAACCCGGUCUUCUUAAAGGGUGGUUAAAUUCCCUGCCUAUUAAAUUUCUUAUCAGGUCGUUAGUCAAUGGAUCUAUUAAAUUCUAGUAUGACUUUGUAGAGUAGUAAUUACUCCAUGGGUGAGUAAUUAUUAAUAUGUAGCUGGGAUCAUUAGUAUAUUUUACUACAUUUCCAAUAGAAAAUGCUACCUCAAAUAAGUUACAUGUCUCCGCGAGACACUCAAGAAUUUCAGCAUAUUCCAAGACUUGACUUCCAAGUUAGCCAAAAGACAUGGAUAUGAGAUUUCAAUUGAAAUGAUUAAACCUUUUUAGAAUGUUUUCACUAUAAUUUCAUCGGCACAAAAAAAUAAUUAUAAAACACUAAAAUCUCUUUUAAAAACAUGUCUUUUAUUUUUAAAUUUAAACACUUACUCAUCAUUUUUAUUAGGAAUGAUAAUGAGACAAGUUUUUUUAGAUAUUUGUCUGCCUUGUUCUUAAUGAAAUGGGUUUAAAAUUUAAAUAAACGAAAUUAGAAUGAAUUUGGGAUUUUUUUAAAAACUUGGUACUAGCUAUUGUCUUUUCUCAUCCUAUCUAAAUUAUAUAUAAAAUUAAUUUAGUUUUAUUUUUAUUUCCCUAUUUGAUAUAUAUAUAUAAUUAUUUAUAAAAUACAUUUAUUUUAAUGUAAUUAAAUUUAAAAAAAUCAAAAUAAAUAAAUAAAUAAGACGAGAUGGGCAUGAAAAAUUCACAUACCUACCUUAUUUAAUUUUUUAAAUAAGAUAGAAAUGAGAAUUAUUUUGAAUAAACAAGAUAAGGUUGAAAUGAGAUCAACUCGUCUUAAACUAGUCUCGUUGCUAUCUCUAUUUUUUAUACUUUUUUAGUUGAAAGGGAUAAAUGAAUUAAAGUUAAGGAUUAAGAUUAAAUAUUCUACUUUACAAAAAAAAAAAUGAGACUAUUAAAUAUUAUUAGAAUUUUAUCAACUAGUCAUAAGAGUUUAAAAAAGAAAAUAUUGAUGAACAAUUCGUAGGAGGAAAUGAAUUGAGAAUAAAUUGACCUAGUGAACCUUCAGUUGCAUUGCCUCCUACUAUGUUCCACUUAUUCAGAAACGAAAGAGAAAGGAUGAGGGAUCUAUAACUAUAAGUUAAAAGGACAAAGGAUCAGGACAAAUAGAGGAUAUAUAUUAUGAGAUAUUAUUUCUAAUAGAAUAUGAUAUUUUAAAAUAUUGCAUUUAAUAUCAUUUAGAAAUUCUUCUCUUAUUUUUAUUUUAAUAAAUAAUUUUUAGUAUUUUAGUAAUAAUGUUUAUGAUUAUAAAUAAUAUAUAUAUAUAUAAAAUUAUAUUAUAUACUAAUAUGCUAAAUAUUUAAAAGCAUUACUAGUAAUUAAAUGAUACUAUAUAUUAAUAUGAUCAUUAUAAAUUUUAUUAUACAUAUAUUUUUUAAUUCUUUUAUUAAGAAGAAUAAAUUUAUAAUGUCAGUUAUACCUUAGGAUUGUUGUAUUUAACAUAUAGAGAUACAAAAGCGAGGAAAAAUGCAAAAGAAACUAUGAUUGAGUUAUUCUAUCAUUUACCGACCAAACAUGAUACAAAAUAUAUUAUCUCAUCUUUUAUCUUAUAUUAUAUUAUAUUCAACAAACUAAACAUAACAUAAUAGACCGACAUUCUAUCAAAUUUCUCGUAUUGUGAUUUUAAAACUUGAAUAGUUCAUGAACUAAACAUUAUUGCCUUUUCUUGUCUCAAUGGAAUAAGCGUUUUAAUUGUUCUAUAUGCAUUUCUUCAUCAAGCUCCCUCUUUUGAGCUAGAAAUAUUAUAUUAGGAGCUAGGUACUCCUUUUUGUAUAGCUCCAUCUCUAAUAAGGUACCAAAGAAGAUAAACUACAAAGGCAAAGAAAAUCUAAUUCCAGAAACUUCUACUUGCAUAAGAUUAGAAAGGCACAUUGUCCUAUUACAGAAUAUGCCCAAUGGCAUAGACAAGGAAAUAACCCACUAUUUUCCACACAACAUAUAUUAAGACAGCUGCACAUGUUUGCUUGUUUAGAUAGUGCAGCAUGACAGUGAAAACUACCAGGACCGAAGUCUACCUCUCAAACAAGCUGGUUGAGCAACUCAUCCACAGUUGUGUAUUUGACAUCGGGAUAUAGCUCUGAAGCCUCCACCCCAAAUGAUGGCUCGAUCUCAAAGUUGGUUUGGUCUCCCUUAAUGAAAACAGAGUGAUCGAUUGAUAAUAUUGCAUUGAGUGGAGCAGAGGCUUCUGCAAGAAACAGAGGAAAACCCAUCAAUAUGAAGAUUUUAGCCAUCAGAUCAACUAUAUAAACAGAUUUUGGGGCGAAAAUAGCCUCUAUAACUGAAAAAUUAUCAUAUGUGGAUACCUUCUUUAACUUAUUAUCAAGCUAGGCCUCUUCAUGUCACCUUGGAGUCAUUUAAUUUAAUUUUUUCCUUUUUAAAUGUAAGUUGAAAAUGCAUUUUGAAAAGAGUGUUUGGACACACGAGUCAAAAUAAUUAUCAAAUUGUAAAAAUAACCCUUUUUUCAAUUUUGUUGAGAGAUCCCAGCAGUCAAAAUAAUCAUAUAAUCAAACCCAGUCUUUUUCUUCCCAACCUUUUUUUUUUUGGCCUUAUCUUAAACUUGCUCUAUUUCUUUUUCAUUUAAGACACUCCAGAAAAACUCAAUCUCAUUUCAUAAUGUCCCACUGAAUUUUCUUAUCUCUCAAACAACUUCUCAUUCUCAUUCGUGAUGUUCACCUAAAGUGUUCUAUGAUUAAAUUUUAUUUAUUACGAAUUUAACUAAGGUGAAAUUUUCAUUAAGAUUGGUUAGCUGAAUUGCACUAGUGUUAUGUUUGGUUGUAAAAAACUUAGUUAGAGUUAAAUUUUCAAUCAUAAUAGUAAUAUGAACUCCACUAUGGUUAAGUUUUAUUUACAAAAAACUUAAGUGGGGUUAGAUUUCUAUUUCAUCUACAAAGAACCUGAUUAUGGUAACUUGAACAAUCCUCUGGUUAAGUUUCAUUUAGAAAGAACUUGAUCAGGGUUAAGUUUCCAUUUCACCUAUAAAGAACUUAAGUAAGAUCAAGGUCUUAAUUAAAAUGUUCAUUUGCAUUGAACUACCAAAACAUCGGACUUAGUAAAAACAAAGUUAGAUGAGAGAUCUAGUAAAUGAUAAGUUUCUAUCUGAUCUCGUCGUCAACAUUGUAGAAGUUCAAAUGAAAUUGCAAAAUAACCCUAAUAAAAAAAAAAUUAGAAAAAACCUCUAACCAAAAACAAUGACAAAAAACAAAACUAAAAACAAAGAGAAAGACGAGAUUCGAUCUCAUUUUCGUCACUAUAGAAACUUACAUGAAACUACAAAAAACCUUAGCAAAAAACAACGACGAAAAACAAAGAGAGAUGGAGAUCUGACCUCAUCUUCUAUAUUGUAGAAGUUCAAAUGAAGUUGCAAAACCCCUAACAAAAAACAACUCCUAAAAUUUGAAAUAGAUAAGGCUCUAAUCUUUGUUCAAGGGUUUGAACUUCACCAGAAAAAGAGAUAGAACAUGAACUUAGAGAGAAGGAGAAGGCUAGGUAUAAAAAAAUGGAAGGGGCAUUUUUGGAGGAAAGAAAGAAGAGUAAAAAUGUCCAAAAUUGGUCAUUUCUCAAAGGGAAGUCAUUAUUUCGAUUUUAAAAGCAUUUUAGUCGACUUCAAUCGAGGUCCGGGGCAUGAUCACCAGAUUUUACCAGCAGGUCAGCUAACAUUUUCUAAGUUAAAAACAAUUUAACCAAGAACCAAUUUCAUUUUAACAAUCUAGCAUAAAGAGAAUGUUCUAUUCACAAUCUCUGUUCCAAUUUAAAUUCACUAGGAAAACCAAAACUUGAACACUUCCAAAAAGGAAAAUGUUUCUCACUAACCUUGGAUGUUCUUCAGAACUUGCUCCUCUGGAACGUAUAUCUUCUCAAGGGUUUUUCCAAUCUUCUUCUCCCACAAGGAGACAAUUUCGUUGUAUGAGUAGGUGUUCUGAGGAGGCCUGACGUAAAGGUUUUUGUUCAAGGUUCUAGGAUCAUCCACAGCUUUAAUAGUAUAGGUGCCAAUGUCAUCCUCCUUGUUAAAAACAGCUGGAGAUGCAAAAGUGAAAAUGAGUAAGAUAGAAUAGAAUCACCUUCUUAUUCCUUCAAGCUUAGACUACUCUGUAAUUCCACCUUUUUUCUUUUACAAAACACAAACUUAAAAUUAUUUUCAUAUGAAACCAAGUUAUUGUUUUCAUUUAAUGCUUAUUUUUUCAAAAACUCUCAGUUGGAAAGCAAACCCCAGAGAACUGUUGAUAAAAAAAAGAGGCUUUAGCCCAUCCUGUUCAGUUUAAAACCCAAUAAUAAUUAUUAGUUACUGGAAAUGCAUAAUGGUUCCUUCAGUUCAACCCCUCCAGGUCACCUGGAUCAUGCUAGUUUCCUGGAUUAUGGCUCAACUGCAGUGUCACACCCAAGCAGUUGACCCCAGCUGUCCGGUUUUCAAAUAGCCACAUUUUGGUUUUCAGGAAUACAGACCAUUCUCACCUCAACAACACUGGCAACCCCAUCAAAUUUUCUGCUUGGAGAAGAUAAUAUGCAGCUAGUGGUUGAUGAAUGCACAUUCAAAUAACCCAUUGAUUAGUAUUACCUUUUAAGCCCACUAUCAUCAGAUGUCAUUGAUCAUGGGAGCGAGUGCAUUCUAAGGUCAAAAGAAGAAAAUGAAACAGAAUUUCAGUUGUUUUACGAUUUUCAGAGGUUGCUUACCUUUUGGAUUACCAUCUCCUGGAAUAAUAAUUUUAUCCCUGGGGGGACCAGUGGCUCCAGGCUGUGAUAAUCUAGAAACGAAAAAGGCAGCGGUGGCUUCAAGCUGUGAUAAUCUAGGAAGGAAAAAGCCAGCAAAGAAGUUGGAGGACACGUAGGUGUAGGGAAUCCCUUCAGCCUCAAUAGCGCGGCGGAUUUGAGCCUUUAUCCCAAAUGCUGUUUUUGCAGGGCCAACCGCAUGGAUACGGUCCACAUCAUUUCCAAACUCUGAUGGGAAGAAUCUCUGGAGGAAAUAAAGCACUUUGAGAAGAAGUCAUAUGACUUGAUAGAUGAAAAACCACUCAUAUCUAUUUAGUCAUAAUAGCUCACAGACAGGGAUCAUCCAUGGGAUACACUAUGAUGAACUUGAUACAAGUGUUCAGCAAGAAUAAAGUUACACUUAGCAAUUCAAAUGAUGGAAGGAAGAAGUGCACCGAUCAGGAUGCUUAAAAAGUGAGAGAAAAAACUAAAUGGAGAAGGUGAAGAAAAAAGCUACCAAACUUCAUUCAUGAAAGGAAAAAGUGCACCAAUCAGGAUGCUUAAAAAGUGGAAGAAAAAACUAAAAGAAAAAAGGUAAAAAAAAAAAAAAAAAAAACCCACCAAACCUCAUUCUGUCCUGAAUCACUUCAGUUUUAAUUUUUAAUUUUUAAUUAUUUAAUUAGUGCUCAAAACAUUUGACACUAUUAAAUUAGUCAUUUGACAUAAUGUAUAUGAUGUUAUCCAAUACCCUAUGUUUGUUGCAUAAGUAUAGUCUCCUUACACAUGGGUUCAAUAAAUUGAGAAAAUGAAUAAACGGUGAAGUUUGAACAAAUGAUUUCCAACCAAAAAAAGGAUCUUAUGCCAUGUUGGACAACCGAUUUACCUAAAACUUAAGUUGUUAGGAUUUAAGCCCACGGUGUAUAUCAUGUUGCCCAUCAGUAUCUAUAUCCAACGAAAGGUCAAGAACCUCCUUGAAACGAUCCUAUUCUAACUUGCCCCUAGCUGCCAAACCCUCAAGGGCAUUAGCCUAAGGGCACAAAGUCAAUAUAGCUCAAGAACCUUCCUGAGAUGUUCCUAUUCCAGCUGACCCUAGCGGCUAGAUCUUCAAGGGCAUUAGCCUAAGGGUGCAAAGUAAAAACCAAGUUUGAGAACCUCCUUGAAAGGACCCGAUUAUAAUUGGUCCCUGGCAGCUAGGCCUUCAGGGACAGAGCAUAUGAGUGUAAAGCCAUUCCAGGACAAGAACCUCCUUAGAAGGACCCCAUCACAAUAGACCCCUAUUGGAGCCUAAGAACAAAAAAUGAAUAAUCAUAUGAAGAAAUAAUAAAACAAAGCAUAAAAGAUAGAAGAGAAGAUAAAAAUAACAAUAUCCUAUGCCACCUCAUUGUCCCCUCCUUCCUUGGAUGAUGCCUCGCUUUUAUCAUUGUCCUCCUCAUCGAUUUCCCCCAAGGCCUUCAUUCGACCCAUGAGCUUGUCGACUUUCAAAAAAUGCUCUUGCAUUAUUGAACCUUAUGAAUAAAAUUAUCUUUUACCACUGUCCACAAAUGAUUUUUUUUUUAAAAGAAUGGCUUUGUCUUAGAGUUCUAUCCUUUUCUUUCUGUUUCUCAUGGAUAAAAAAAACCCCAACCCAAAUAUUUUUUUAUAACAAGGAUAAUUUUUUAUACCUAAAGAAUUAAAAUCGACUUUCAAACACCUAAGCGUUGAGACUCAACUCAAUCCAACCUCAGUCAAUUAACAUGGAUCCAGCAAGAAAAGAUUGUUCAUCCUCAAUGAAUAUUGUGAAGAUGGAAUGUUCUUCCAUGCCUUUUCAACACUCUCAACAUUUCUAAAGAUGGUAUUACUACAUCAUGCGCAAAGGAUAAAGGAAUUACCGACAAAUUAUUACAAAUUCCAAUAAUAAAAAUCAUAGGAACUUGUAUUUGCAAAGAAGAGAUGGAAAUAGAAAGAAGAAAAGGAGAGGAAGAGAUUUCGUCAAUUUGGACGACUUUACCUUGACAUUUCCAGCUUCUUUGAUGGCGGCAAUGAUCUUGACUUGAUCCGAGAACUGUGCGCGACCAACGGUCGAGAUGACCACAUCCACUUGCUUAAUCGCCUUCACCAAACUCUCGUGAUCGUGUAGAUCUCCCUGCAACAUAACAGAACCAAUCAAAAAACUAUUUCAAAGCUGUAAUUCUUCAAUAAGAAGUAAGAAUUCAAAAAUUGGUGUGUGUUUCCACUUUGCUGGAACCAAAGCAAAUCAAAACAUAAACAUCCAAAAUUUUCUUUUCUUUUCCUGCGAAACACUACUUUUUCUUUCUUUCUGGAUGAGUGAAGAGUCUCAGUUUUCUUUUUCUUAGGAACUUAAACUUCCAACUCCAAUGAACUUCGUUCAUUUUCUCCGCGGCCAAAAGAAACAAAAACUAGAAAAGAAAAAAUGGCGAGAAAUGAGAGCGAACAGUACGUACAUAUACCAAAGUCACGCCGGAACUCUUGAAACUCUCAAUGAUUUCCGACAUGGAAGGAUUCGAAACGGUGGAUUCUCUGACGAGAGCGAAGGUAGGGUGACCGGACCUAGCGCUGGCAGCGACGAUGAAUUUUCCGAUGUAUCCAGUGCCGCCGAUGAUGAGAAUCUUGCUCUUUUCGGACAUUGUGAGUUUUUCCGACCAAUCUCCGGCAAGAAAUGUGGAAUUGGAAAAGGCUAGCAAGCAGUAAGCAAUGACGACUGACGAGUAGUGCAGUACUGCAGUGUUCUUAUAUAACAAAGCUUGAGGCUAUAUAGAUUAUGUAAUUACGAAACUAGCCUUUUCUUUCAGCAGUAAUUCCCGCUUUGGUCAUCAUAUGUAUGUGGCUCGAUCUUUGUAUGAUUCACGUGUCCCGAUUCAUAUUUGUUUGAAAAUCGGCUUAGAUUAGUCCAAUUUACAAGACUACACCAUCUUUAAUUUGACAAGAGCAUAUAAUAUAUAUAUAUAUUGUAGCAAUCAUUAAUAUUUUAUUUUAUUUUUGGCACGUGUAAUUUUAUCUCUAGCUCCCAUAUCUUAUUUUAUUGCACACUUUUGACUCCGUUUGGCCAUAUUGAUAUAUAUCAUAGAUUUGCCUUAGAUUUUGGUUAAUAAAAUUUUAAUCAUUAUUGCACGUUUUUAUUCUCCACCCAUGUUUAAUAGUAUAUUUUAGAGACUUAUCGUGGAUAACCACCCCUUCACCUCUCCUACUGAAUUGUCAUUUGAUAUUGCUUGGGGAUCCCACAGAGUUGUCUAGUUGAUAGGUUGAUAAAAUUUACAUGCACGGUCAUUUUCAUGUCCUUAAAGCAAAUACAAAUUAAAAUGUGAUCGAUUGAUGCUAAGAUUUGAAUUUAUCUAUUUAAUAUAAAAUUGUCAUGGUCAAAUGUUUAUUGCUACUCCACGAUAGAAUGAUGAUUUUUAUUUUUGUGACAGUAACAUUUCAAAUUAUAAAAAACAAUGAAUUAAACAAUAUUUUUAUAUUCUUUACAAAAUCUUGGAUGUUUAAAAUUAGACCCUUUAAAUAGACACGUGACUUAAAUGGAAUACCAUAUUUGGGAAUGCACUACACUUAACUUGGAUUGGAAUAUAAUUCAAAAUGGAUAACAAUUAGGAAUGCACCAUGCUUAUUUGGAAUUAAGGGAGAGAGGGAUGACUGUUGGAAUCAUGAAAUGUUAUGGAACGGACCCCUUUUUAAAGAUGUAGAUGUCCCUUAAAGAAACGCUUCCAUCAAAAGAGUUGCACCUAACUAAUAAGAGAUGGGAAUGACUUCCAAAAAAUGUAUCACUUCAUGUUGGUGGCCUUUUUAUUAAACCUAGAAGCAUGUGGGGUUAGGCUCACACAUAUCUGGUGUGGCUUGUGCACAUGUGAGCCUAUGUUAGGCCCAAGUCCACAUUCAUCUAGUUGGAUAUAUGCAUAUGUGAGUUUAUGUAAAAACCCAUGUUUUCUUUUAAGCUUACAAAAUACUUGUAAAGUACCUUUUCGACUAGUGAUCUUCUAAGAAACGCUUCCAUCAAAAGAGUUGCACCUAUCUAAUAAGAAAUGGAAAAGGCGUCUAAAGAAGAUCUCACUUUAUGUUGUUGGUGACCUUUUUUCAAUGUUUUUAAAAUUGGACCGAUUAUUAAAUAUAAAAAAAUUACUCAUUCACGGUUCAUUAAUCGGACUGACAGUUGAACCAGUAACGUCAUAAAUAUAUAAUUUAUAAAUUAUUAAAAUAAAAAUAAAAAUGUAUGUAUUGUUUAAAAAUUAAAAUUUUAUUUGAAAAUCAGAAAAUUAGUUUUAAAAUUAAAAUUAAAAUUAAAAUCAUGGGGGGGAGGGGGAGGGGAGGGGGUUCGUUCUGCCAGUGAGAGAGCGACGUCCGACCAAUCAGCAAUUGACGAUAGUGGGAAGAAGCAGCUAGGGUAGUAGGGUAAGAGGGGUUAUUGGAAAAAAUAAUAAUAAUAAAAGAAAGGUUGAACGGUUCAAUGGUCAAAUCGUCGGUUCAAUCGGUCUAAUUCUGGUUUGACUACUUUUCGACCUAAUUCAUCAAACCAAACCGAAAUUGUGACUUGCUGGUUCGAUCCAAUUUUUAAAACCGUGUAUUUUUAUUAAACCUAAAAGGUGGGUGUAGGAUCACACCUAUCCAAUGUGGCUUGUGCACACGUGAGCCUAUGUUACGCCCAUGUACACAUUCAUCCAAUUAGGUCCAUGCAUAUGUGAGUUGAGGUUAAAAACCAUGUUUUCUUUUUACCUUACAAAAUACUUAUAAAGUACUUUUUCUGACUACUAAUCUUCUAAUGUGGGAUUGCUUUUUUCCACCACAUUCCACAUGAAUGCAUAGGUAACUUUGAGCUCAAUUUGUCAUUAACCCAUAAAUGGUUUUGAGUAUGUAAAUUUCUUAUCCACCAAUACCUACUCGUGCAGACGUUAUUGGUUAUCAUUUGGAGAAAGGUGUCCAACCUAUUGAUUGUUGUAAUUUAGAUUGUCCCAAUUCUAAUAGUUGUGGUUUUAAGGCCUAGAAUUGUUUCGUUGAUUCUCAUCUUAACCCUUCUCUUUAUUCAAUGACUUCCCUUGAAAGUAUUAUUUGAUGAUCUCCUAUCAGGGGGUUGGUCUCUUUCUUAUCUUCUCUUCUUUUUAAAUAGUCCAUUACCUUAUCAUGCAAUUCUUUAAAUGAGAUAGCAGUAUCACAAGCUCUCACAACAACAGUGGUCUCUUUGUAUUUUGAACCUAAUUCAUUGAGAGUGUAAACCACCAGAUCAUCAUUGUGCAAGAGUGAACUAAUAAUAGUAAGUUCAUCAACAAUACUUUCGAAGAUUUGGAUGUAUUCACUAAUAGUUUUUUGUUCUUUGAUCGUUUUUAUAGCCUUUCCCAUGAGGUUAGGAUGCAUGACCUUGAGUAAUUGGCAUUAAGUUUUUUUGGGUGAGACCAUGACUCUAAUGCCUUAGUAGCACAAACCACAAAACAAAAAUAGACUCCAAACUACAAUCUAACAUGAGAUGAAAUAACAAAUUAUUUUAAGGUUAAUUUUGUUGACUUUCCAUGAGGUUUUGACUAAAUAUAUUUAGUUCAUAUUAGUUUGAAAUUUCAUCAAAUACCUCCUCUACCCUUCUCACAAAUUAUUUCACUUACCUGUCUUCUAACUCAAAAUAAAGGAAGUAUUUGACGAUAUUUUAAAUUUAUAAAAACUAGGUAUAUUUAACCAAAACUUGAGGGAAAGUAAGUGAAAUUAACCUAAUUAUCUUACUUUUAAUAUAGCCAAUAUUCCAUAUCUCGUAUUGGUACUUUCCUUCUCCUUUCAAAUUGUUGUAGAAGGGCAAAGAUAUGACCGUUGUUACAUGUGCUAAAUCAUAGUAGUAUAUAAAGAAGCAUGCGGAACUAAACUCUUCACAAUGGAAAGUUUUUAAUCGUAGUUACAUCACUACAUCAAUCAACUCUGUGGUGCUAAUUUGGUAAAAUGUCAAAAGACUUUGACCCAUUAAAGGUAAAAAAGAAUAAAAAUAAAAAUUUGUUGUAGCAAUGGAUACUCUAAAACCAUAAAUACAAAGAAUUUAUAUAACCUAUCACUCGUAUUAUUUUACAUUGUAUAAGUUUACAAUAGAAAUGAUCGACUAAAUAUACAUUGGUAAUAUUAUAGCUUAGGGUCAAAUGUCAUGCGUUAUGAAUGUAAAGAAAAAUUGAACUUGAUGAUUUGGUUGAGCCUUUAUUUGCCAUUAAUAUAUGCCUUUAUGGACUGUCCACUGUAAAUUCCUUUCACUCCUCUCAUUGAAGAAUGAAACUCCACACUUUAUUCAAGUUUAAAAUGUUUUCUUGCAUAUUAAGGAGGAAAUUAAAAAAUAAAUAAAUAAAUAAAGGAAAGGAAAAUGAUCCGUUAAAAAACUAUAUUAUGAAUGUUAGAUAUCUUAAAAAACAAAAAAAUAUAUAUUUGUAGACCCCAUUUUGGGGAGCUGUCAUUUUUCUCACGUUUCCUUUCUUGCAGCUAGCUGUGGCCAAGUGUCACCAUCUUGCAUGGCCACGUGUCACUCCCGGAUUAGUCAAUAUGGGAUCAAAAUAGUGGAAUUGAUGGACCCAUCAGAGGAAGACACCUGGAAAGUGAAGAACAUUCUGGAAUCAGGGGAGCGUAUCUUCUGUUAUGGGAAGGUUGCCAGCUGCAGGAGUAGAGGAGUGGAGGCUGGUUGCUGCAGAGAGAGUGGAGGCUGGCAGAGGAGUGGAGGAGAGGUUUUGCUUUUGAAAAGGCCGUUAGAGAUAUUUUUAGGAUGAGGCAGCGGCAUUGAAGGGGAGAGUUUGGAGAGAUUCUUGAGGAGCAAGCUAGAUAUUGAAAAGAGAGAACGAGACAGAGAGAGCUGCAUUGAGAGGGAGGGAUUUCUUUUAAGCUGAGGCUGGUUGCUGCAGAGAGAGUGGAGGCUGGCAGAGGAGUUUUGGAGAGAAAGAGAAGGGUUUUUGGAGAGAAAGAGAAGGGGUUUUGGAGAGAAAGAGAAGGGUUUUUGGAGAGAAAGAGAAGGAGUUUUGGAGGGAACAGAGAGCUAGAGGGGGAGGAAAAACACUAGGAAGAAAAACAGAGAAAUCAGAAGAGACGGUUUUGGGUAGAGGAGGUUAUCAAGAACCAGAAGAAAAGGGCCUCCAGGUUCUUUUUGAGGGGUAAGUUUUCCACUGUGUUCUUGUUCUUUCUUUUUCUCUUCAUAUAUUGUUGUUGAGAUGCAUUGUUGUUGAUCUUUGGAUGGGUUAUACUCUGUUCUUCAUGGUUGACUGCUCCCCUUUUGCUUCUGUUUAUGGCUGAAAAUUGAUUUAAAUCCAUUUUUACCUUCUUUGUGGCAUUUUAAAGAAAGAAAAAGACCUUUUAAUUCACCCAUCUGCAAACCCACUAAUGAAGAGGUGAAGCAUAGUUCUUCAUGCUUCAUCUCAUUUUUCUUCCUCCAUGGCUCUGUUUUUGCUACUUUUCUCUCUGCUCUUCGUGUUUGGACUUUCUUGGAUAUGAAGCCGUAAUGGGGAGUGAGGCUAUGGGAUGACGAGACAGUGAGGGAUUUGGACUCCUUGAAUCCGUUUAUCCUGUAAAGGCUACUAAGGGCUUGGUAGAUCAAUGUUUGAGCAUAUGAACAGAGAGUGGUCUACACCGGGGAUACCAUUAUUGCCAGUGAUCCGUGUGGCAGAGGUUAGUGGGCUGUAGAGAGGGGAUCCUUUCUGACGGAGCAAAGGAACAAGAGAUGAAUUCAUGGGUUUUCUGAAUUGUUUUCACUAAGAAGGAGUUCACCCAGUACUCUUAGGCCUAAGAAGCUCGGCAUUUCUUUGCAAACAUAAGAAGCACAGGCUGGAACUAUGGAGGCCAUAGGUUUUACAUGGUAAAAAAGUGGGUUGACUGAGGAAUUGAGAAAGAAAUAAAGCAAGCAAAGCCGUCAUCGAAUGACGCCGGCGGCGAAGCGCCUCCACUUUGACUACGUCGUGCCCUCAGUUAUCGACUCUAACCACCGCUUCUCUAGUCUACGCGUGUCGCCGGAAGACUUGACGCUGAUCGUUUCUCUGCCUCUCUUUAUUUUCGGCUCUGUCAGGGGUCGAAACUCAUCCUCCGCUGGCGAUUGCGACGAGUGUCUCUCCUAGCUUAAGCCUCACGAUCAGCUUCGGCUGUUCCUGAUCUGCCGUCACGCUUCCCAUGCUCUAUACAUCAACACGCUGCUGGCAUCCAGUCAGGCAUGUCCUUGUAUCGUGUUCCGCAGGGAAUUCUGGGCCUGAUCUGCUCACUGUGGUGAGUGUCGCGCCAUGGAUUUUAACUGAUGGUGUCCCGACGAUUGACAAGAAGUUUUCCGGUGGAUGUGGUUCUUGGCGACGGAAGAAUCUUCGGUGGUGUGUCUAUGUACUUCGGCGAUCCUCUAAAGGACACUAAUCUCCCCAUUAGUUUACGCUGGUGACUGUGGAAGCAGAUUCCGCUUCAUCGGAAAACCCAAUCCUUCUCAAGUGCCUGGAAAAGCAGUCAUUUGUGAUCGGAACUUCACCUCGGCGCCCAAAGUCGCAGCGUUCUCCAACUGGUUUAGACAUCGACGAGAGACAAGUUGAUUUUAAUAUAAUUUCUGGCACGUCCAUUGCAUGUCCGUACGUGAGUGGAAAUAGCGACUGUGGCAGUGUACCCAAACGGCUUCACCACUCUCAAGCAUGAUGCUCUGAGAGUUGAAUUGAAAUGGAGGGGCGUUCUCAUAUUGCAAUUGUUGUUCCUAGAACUGAUGAGUCAAUCAGUAAAUUGGUUCAGCAACCUCAGAAGUUAAUAGAUCUCCGUGAGGUUCGCGAUAUUACUCAUAUGCCAUUUGCAGAAAGAGAUGACUGAAGGGAAACGGGUUCCUCUGAAUAUUACUAAAUUUGAUUAUGAAUGUUUGAGAAAGACCGCUGACAGUCAAGCAUAUUAAGGGGAUCCAUAUAAAGAAUUGUGGGUGUCCUUUGUUGACCGAGUUGGUCUUAGUCACAGAUAUCCUCAUCCAUGGCUGCUGAUAUAUCUCCUAAUUCUUCUUGAUGCUGCGGAAGAUAUUGUUGAAAUAGGAAAAACUGGGUGGAGAGAUCAAUUGUUACUCUGAUUUGAUUUUGGAUUGAAAAGGGAUGGGUUCAUUCAUGGAGCAUGUUCUGCCAGGAACGCUGUUUCUAGCAGUGAGUUUGUGGCACAUAUGCAGCGCAGUGGUGAGAUUUGUGAUGAACCCAAAGGGGUUUCAGGUUCGGGUUUUGAACCCAGUGUCUGGUUUUGAUGGAAGGCUUAGAUACUUGGAGCUUUAUGUGGUGGCAAUCGGAGCUUUUAUUGAUAUGUGCAUAGAGUUUUUGUAUUCAACUCAUCUCAAGUUCUUUGUGAAUGGGGUCUUGAACCCAUCUCACACGAAUGACUUUGAGCACUCUGGGAUGCUUCUCAUGUUCUUUAUUUUCGGGGUCGUCGCCUUGUUCUCCCAGCAAACCGGGCUUGUUCAAAACUGAAUAACCAAUGCUCAAUAGCCUUCACAUAGCUCCAUUCUGCCCUCACAUACUUCCAGCGCGUGACUUGUUUGAAUGAGAGCGACUUUUAUUGCCAAACAGUUACUUGGGGAACCGGUGACGUUACUCCUAUUGCAGGAUUGCUUGGCAAAUCUCAAUUCCAGAUUCACUUAGGAGGGAUCCUUGGCUGCUAAUUGGAAGGCUUCAAGACAGAAGGAAGCGAAGAGUGAUGAUACCAGGGAAGUGACUCAAUUAUCUACUCUACACUUGCCCGCUCAUGGCCCCAAAAUCUCAGAAGUGGUCAAGAAGUUGGAAGACUGCAUGUUCUGAAAUUGACCUAGCCUUUCAAAUCGGGUUCCCUACAUUGAAAUAAGAAGCAGUAGCAUGAGUUAUCCUCCAGAAUGGCUCUAUUCUCUGCAUGGUGCAUGGCCACCUUUGGGCCACAGUGCCAUUUCCCAUUUCACCAUCUCUAAUUUUGAAAAAUAUUCUUUUAAAUCCCAUUCUUCAAAUAAUUUUCUAGAUUUUAGUUUGUUUUAAAAUAAUUUCAAACUCGUCCACUUUUCAUCUUUAGUUUCUUUUUCUUAGAUUCCAAAAAUCCAUUUUUCCAAUAAAAUUUUGCUACCACUUUUCUUCCUAGCAAGCCAUUUUCAUAUCUCUUCUGUUUUUUUUAAAUUGUUUUGAAAUAAGCAAGAAUUAAUUCCGUAAUUCCGAAUAAUGGAAUUUAUGGAAUUAAUUCAUGCUAAGAUAAAUGGGCUUUGGUGGGGGCCCAACAUAUGAGAUUUUAUGAUUGAUUGACUGAUUGAUUGAUUCAUUAGCUAUAUGUGAUUGAUUUAUUCUGUUCCUUGGUAUACACAUUAUCCUUCUGUGUUUGUUCACUAACCCUGUUUCUGAUAGCACGUUACGGCUCGUGGCCCCGGUACGCACUCUCUAUACCUAUUCUGUUUCUCAUAUGUGCAUAAUUGAUUCGAGUAUUCAUUGCUUUCCUCAUCAAUUGCCACAUCAGCUUCAUUUUAUUAGUAGAGACCCGAUUUUAGGGACUUAGAGGGGUGCUAUGGUCUUUACCGUACCUUCCCGAUAAGUAACCUGACCCCCGAACCCGAUCCGGUUUUUCGUAGAUCACCUUUUCCAAAUAAGGAGUCACACUUAGGGUUUUUCUUUCUUAUUUUGUUUACCCUUUUAAAAAUAAAACAAAAAUACAGCUAAAAUCGAGCUCGCCAUUGAGUGGGAAACGCAUUGAGAUAGAUCGAAAUGCGGGGUCCACAACGCGUUCUUUUAUUCUCUUUAGUUUUAUAAAAAAGAUGGUAAAAAUGUAGUGAUCUUCUUUUAGUUUCUGUUUUAUAAGUGAGAGGGGACUAAGAUAGUAUUUAUUUUUUGACUGAAUAUAAAAAAUCAAAAUAUAUACAAAUUUACUUUAAUUAUAUUGGACGAUGUUAAUAGGUUACUUUUAGCUAAAUAAAAAAAAAAUCAAAACCUUAGAAAAAUAUUUUAAGUUUUAUUUACUCAAAUCAAUGUUUCCAAAAAUAUCCUUAUUGUCAAAACUGACUUAAAUGAAAAAUAAAUAAAAAAAUAUAAGCAAAAAACAAUUUAAUAGUUUUUAAAAAUAUUAUUAAAUCAUCAUUUGGUUCCCUUUUAUUCUGUCACUUUAAUUCUUUAAAACUAAAUUUAAUUCUUUUAUAACAAUAGAACAUAGGGGCCUAAGGUUGGAAAAUGACAAUUUACCCUAUUUGAAAAAAGAAAAAUUAUAUAUUCAUUUCUAGCCAAAAACAACUUUAUAUGUAAUUGUCAUUUUUUAUCAACCCCCACCGCUGAUGCAAAAGCCUUAACCUUGAAUGGAAUUUUAAUUUCAAAGACAUUUAGCACAUAGGAUAAAAAUUGUGCAUUUCAAUGAUCAAAGCUUCAUAUCUUAAAAGGUAGGUAAAUUUUAAAAUUCAACUAAGUUAUGUCUUCAAAAGACAAUAUUUAAUUGGAUUCUUUCGAGGUGUCAUAGAAUUAGAAAUAUUUUUUGAAUUAUUAUAUUUUAAAAAAUAUAUUUUUUUAAAUUGCCUUACUUUGUUCAAAAUGCCAAGAAGCAGGCAUAGGAACUAUAACAAAGCUCCAUCUCUAUUAGGGUACCAGAGAGGAUGAAUUGAAAAGGCUAGGAAAAUCUAAUUCCAGAAACUUCUACUUGCAUAAGAUACAGAGUGACUACAGAAUAUGCUCAAUGGCAUAGACAAGGAGGCCACACAUGCUUGCUUAUUUAGAUGGUGCAACAUGACAAUGAAAACUAGCAGGACCAGAAAUUACCUCUCACACAAACUGGUCAAGGUACUCAUCCACAGUUGUGUAUUUGACAUCGGGAUAUAGCUCUGAAGCCUCCACUCCAAAUGAUGGCUUGAUCUCAAAGUUGGUGUGGUCUCCCUUAAUGAAAACAGAGUGACUGAUAGAUAAUAUCACAUUGAGUGGAAAAGAGGCUUCUGCAAGAAACACAGGAAAAGCCAUUAAUUUGAAGAUAUUUGUCAUCAUUAAGAUUAUGUUUGGUUUCCAAAAAAUUUGAGGGAAAAUGCAAGAAAAGAAAAUAGAGAGGAAAAGUGGAAAGAAAAAAAAAGAAAAAAAAUAAAAAAAAUGGAUUCAAAAUCAAUAAAUUAUUUUUAAAUGCUAUUUCAAACUCAUUUCACCCAUUUCCCCCUAUUAUAUAAAGAUUAAACAAUUUUAAAAUGUAUAAAUUUUUAAUUAAUUUUAAUUAUAAUUUAUUUUCUUUCAUAUUUUCUAUAAUGAAACCAAGCAUGAGAAAACUAUUUUCUUUAAUAUUUUUUUUAUUUCCUUAAUACUUUCCGAGAGCCAAACAUAGUCUAAAAGAUCAACUAUAUAAACAGGGGCCAAAAAAUGGCCUCAAUGGUAAAAAAAUUAUCCUAUGUAGGAACCUUCCCAAACUUAUUUUUCAAACUAGAACUCUUGAUGCCAUCUACGCCCCAUUUUUAUUUUAUUUUUUUCCUUUUUAGUCAUAAGUUGAAAAUGCAUUUCUGAUUUUAUAAAGAAGUCAAAUUUUGAGCAAUGGUUUGAAACAUGACCCAAACUCAAUAUUAUUUGACCAAAACAGGCCUUUUUUUUAUCCAAAAUUCAUAUAAACACGUAAUGCUUGCAAGUUCAACCAACUCCUCUUUCUUUCUUUUCUUUUAUUCCCUUCAUUUUUCAAAUCCAUUGAGCAACUGCAAAUUGUUAGUCUGUCAUAUGAAUCUCUAAGGAAGACCCUAAUUGAGGUCUGGGGCACGAUCAAAUGAUUUUACCAGCAGGCCACCUAAUAUUUUCUAAGUUAAAACAAUUGAAUCAAGAACCAAUUUCAUUUUAACAAGGUAGCAUAACGAGAAUGUUUCAUUCCCAAUCUCUAUUCCAAUUUAAAUUAACUAGGAAAACCAAAGUAUGAACACUUUUAAAAAAAGAAAAUAUUUCUCACUAACCUUGGAUGUUCUUCAGAACUUGCUCCUCUGGAACAUAAAUCUUCUCAAGGGUUUUUCCAAUCUUCUUUUCCCAUAAGGAGAGAAUUUCGUUGAAUGAGUAGGUGUUCUGAGGAGGCCUGAUGUAAAGGAUUUUGUUCAAGGCUCUAGGAUCAUCCGCAGCUUUAAUAGUAUAGGUGCCAAUGUCAUCCUCCUUGUUAAAAACAGCUGGAGAUGCAAAAAUGAAAUGAGUAAAAUAAAGUAGAAUCAUCUUCUCAUUCCUUCAAGCUUGGACUACUUGGAAAUUCCACUUUUUUUGUUUGAAGAACACAAACUUGAAAUUAUUUUGAUGUGAAACCAAGUUAUUCUUUUUCAUUUAAUGCUUAUGUCAAAAACUCUCAGCUGGAAAGCAACCCAAGAGGACUGUCAAUAUAAAAAAGAGGCUUUAGCCCAUCCAGUUCAGUUUAAAAUCAAAUAAUAAUGAUUAAUUACUAAAAAUGCAUAAUGGUCCCUUCAGUUCAACCACUCCAGGCCACAUGGAUCAUGCUAGUUUCCUGGAUUAUGGCUCACUUGUAAUGUAGCACCCAAGCAGUUGACCUCAACUGUUGGAAGGUUUUGUUUCUGGGUGAACAGGUUUAACCAGCUGGGGAAGGGGGGAGUGGAGAGGGGUUGUCCAGGUUUCAAAUAGCCACAUUCUGAUUUUCAGGAAUACGGACCAUUCUCACCUCAACAACACUGGCAAACCCAUCAAUUUUUCUGCCUGGAGAAGAUAAUAUGCAGCUAUUGGUUGGUGAAAUGGUAAAUUAACACUCUCAAAAGGAUCCCAUGCUCAUUUACAUAACCCACUGAUUAGUAUUACUUUUUAAGCCCACUAUCAUCAGAUGUCACUGAUUAUAUGAGCCAGUGCAUUCUAACAUCAAAAGGAGAAAAUGCAAUGGGAAAUUCAGUUGUUGGAUGAUUUUCAGAGGUUGCUUACCUUUUGGAUUCCCAUCUCCCAAAAUAAUAACUUUAUCCCUGGGGGGAGCGGUGGCUCCAGGCUGUGAUAAUGUAGGAAGGAAAAAGCCAGCAAAGAAGUUGGAGGACACAUAGGUGUAGGGAAUUCCUUCAGCCUCAAUAGUUCGGCGGAUUUGAGCCUUUAUCUCAAAUGCUGUUUUUGCUGGCCCAACCGCAUGGACACGGUCCACAUCAUUUCCAAACUCUGAUGGGAAGAAUCUCUGGAUGAAAUAAAACACUUUAAGAAGUAGCUGUAUAACUCAAUAGAUUGAAAAACCAGUCAUAUCUAUUUAGUCAUAUUAGCUCACAAACAGGGAUCCCAUAUGGGAUACAAGUGUUCAAAUAAAGACAUAAAAUUAGCAAUUCAUAUUAUGGAAGGAAAAAGUGCACUGAUCAGGAUGCUUAAAAAGUGAAAGAAAAAAC
rnacentral:lncRNA from 1 species